rnacentral:tRNA from 1 species
GGAGAGGUGGAUGAGCGGUUUAAGUCGCACGCCUGGAAAGCGUGUUUAGUAGCAAUACUACCGCGGGUUCGAAUCCCGCCCUCUCCGCCA